rnacentral:rRNA from 1 species
CAGUAGCCGCGGUAAUACGAAGGGUGCAAGCGUUAAUCGGAAUUACUGGGCGUAAAGCGUGCGUAGGCGGUGAGUUAAGUCUGCUGUGAAAUCCCCGGGCUCAACCUGGGAAUGGCGGUGGAUACUGGCUCGCUAGAGUGUGUCAGAGGAUGGUGGAAUUCCCGGUGUAGCGGUGAAAUGCGUAGAGAUCGGGAGGAACAUCAGUGGCGAAGGCGGCCAUCUGGGACAACACUGACGCUGAGGCACGAAAGCGUGGGGAGCAAACAGGAUUAGAUACCCGUGUAGUCCCUGUCUCUUAUAC